AAACUGCGAAAGGCUCAUUAAAUCAGUCGUGGUCUACGUGGUCGUGCGGCGACGAGAGUCGUCAGAGGUGGAUAACCGUGGAAAAGCUAGAGCUAAUACAUGCAAGCGAGCGCCGACUUCGGGAGGCGUGCAUUUAUCAGACCGCGCGUCGGCCGAGCGCCGCGUCGAUGUUCGGGCCGCGAGGCCCGGCGUUAUCGGACGGCGCUCGUCGAUGGUGGUGACUCUGGAUAACUUAUCGUGCUGAUCGCCGGUCCCAUUGUAGAGACCGGGCGACGAACCACUCGAGCGUCUGACCUAUCAACUGUUGUCGGUAAGGUCUCGGCCUACCGAGGUGCUCACGGGUGACGGGGAAUCAGGGUUCGAUUCCGGAGAGGGAGCCCGAGAAACGGCUGCCACUUCCAAGGAAGGCAGCAGGCGCGCAAAUUACCCAUUUCAGACUCUGAGAGGUAGUGACGAGAAAUACCGAUGCCGGGCCUCGACGGGCGCCGACAAUCGAAAUGAGCGCAGCUCAAAACACUGAUGUCGUUCCUCGCUUUCAAGGCCCUUCGCGGGGCCGCGAGAGCAGGUGUCGUGCGAGUAUCGAUCGGAGGGCAAGUCUGGUGCCAGCAGCCGCGGUAAUUCCAGCUCCGAAAGCGUAUGCUUAUGUUGUUGCGGUUGAAAAGCUCGUAGUUGGAAAUAAGCUUUUCGCCGGAAGCGCGCCGGCCUUCGCGGGCCGAGCGUCGCGACCGAAACGAAAGAUGGUGUGCUCGGCGGGCGUGCUUCGAAAGGGGCGCGUUCGUUCGGGUCCUUUGUAGCGGACGGCCGGCGUGGCUCCCAUCCCGAUGGAAGUUGCACGUCGAGAGUCGUUCGCAGGUUGCCCUGAAGAAAUUGAAGCGAUCAGGGCAGGUCGACGCUAACCAGAGACUCGACCGGCCCGCGAGGGCCGGCGAAGUCGACCGAGAACAGUCGUGCAUGGUACAACGGAAGACGGCCGCGGCUCCGCCGCCGGCGUCGAGAUAUGUGCGCGUGGCAAUGAUCAAGAGGGACGGACGGGGGCAUUCGUACUGUGCCGGGAGGGGUGAAAUCCGUGGAUCGGCGCAAGACGAACAGAAGCGAAGGCGUCUGCCAAGGACGUUUUCCUUAAUCAAGAGCGAAAGUCGGAGGUUCGAAGACGAUCAGAUACCGUCGUAGUUCCGACCGUAAACGAUGCCGACCGCGUGGUCGCCCACGUAUUCAAAGAUCUCGUCAGGACGCGUCCCGCUCGCGUCGGUGCCGGUGCUCGAUUCGUUCGAGGCCGCGCCGCGCGACGCCGGGUCCGGCCGAGGGAUCGGGCAUGUCGGGGUGGCCGCGCCGGGAGGGAAACCGGAGUCUUCGGGUUCCGGGGGAAGUAUGGUUGCAAAGCUGAAACUUGAAGGAAUUGACGGAAGGGCACCACCAGGAGUGGAGCCUGCGGC
rnacentral:rRNA from 1 species